UAGUCAUAUGCUUGUCUCAAAGACUAAGCCAUGCAUGUCUAAGUAUAAGCGAUUUAUAGUGAAACUGCGAAUGGCUCAUUAAAACAGUUAUAGUUUAUUUGAUAAUCGAAUUUUACAUGGAUAACCGUGGUAAUUCUAGAGCUAAUACAUGCUGUUAAGCCUGACUUUUUGGAAGGGCUGUAUUUAUUAGAUACAAACCAAUAUUCCUUCGGGUCUAUUGUGAUGAUUCAAUAUAACUGAUCGAAUCGCAUGGUCUUGCACCGCGAUAAAUCAUUCAAGUUUCUGCCCCAUCAGCUUUCGAUGGUAGUGUAUUGGACUACCAUGGCUUUCACGGGUAACGGAGGCUUAGGGUUCGAUUCCGGAGAGGGAGCCUGAGAAACGGCUACCACAUCUAAGGAAGGCAGCAGGCGCGUAAAUUACCCAAUCCUGACUCAGGGAGGUAGUGACAAGAAAUAACAGACCGGAGCCUACGGUUCCGGGAUUGCAAUGAGUACAAUUUAGACUCCUUAACAAGUAACAAUU
rnacentral:rRNA from 1 species